rnacentral:rRNA from 1 species
UGGGGAAUCUUGCACAAUGGGGGAAACCCUGAUGCAGCGACGCCGCGUGAACGAUGAAGCCCUUCGGGGUGUAAAGUUCUUUCGACAGGAACGAUAAUGACGGUACCUGGAGAAGAAGCUGCGGCUAACUACGUGCCAGCAGCCGCGGUAAUACGUAGGCAGCGAGCGUUGUUCGGAGUUACUGGGCGUAAAGAGUGCGUAGGCGGCGAGCCAAGUUUGGUGUGAAAUCUCCCGGCUUAACCGGGAGGGUGCGCCGAAAACUGGUUGCCUGUAGUAUGGGAGAGGAAAGCGGAAUUCCUGGUGUAGCGGUGAAAUGCGUAGAUAUCAGGAGGAACACCUGCGGUGUAGACAGCUUUCUGGACCAAAACUGACGCUGAGGCACGAAAGCGUGGGUAGCAAACA